AAACCGACACAGGUGGUCAGGUAGAGAAUACCAAGGCGCUUGAGAGAACUCGGGUGAAGGAACUAGGCAAAAUGGUGCCGUAACUUCGGGAGAAGGCACGCUGAUAUGUAGGUGAAGCCCCUGCGGGCGGAGCUGAAAUCAGUCGAAGAUACCAGCUGGCUGCAACUGUUUAUUAAAAACACAGCACUGUGCAAACACGAAAGUGGACGUAUACGGUGUGACGCCUGCCCGGUG
rnacentral:rRNA from 1 species